CCACAUUGCUCAGAAGACAUUUGCCACAUGUUUUUUUUUUUGUUAAAUAUUUUGCCACAUGUUCAAAACAAUGGAAAAUGUGUGUUAAAGUAUAAUUUUACGUGAAAUCACCCCAGCCACAUGCGCUUACUAGUAUUAUCCAAUUCUCUGAACAAGAACAAUUGGACAAGAACAAGAACAUGAAUGACAAUCCAUAAGUAGAUGUCUAUUGUUAUUACUUUUUUAUCUUGCGUUGUUAGUUAGUCAUCUACCAUACAAUCAUGC
rnacentral:lncRNA from 1 species